rnacentral:rRNA from 1 species
UACGAGGGGAGCGAGCGUUGUUCGGAAUUAUUGGGCGUAAAGGGUGCGUAGGCGGUUUGGUAAGUCUGAUGUGAAAUCUAUGGGCUCAACUCAUAGUCUGCAUCGGAAACUGCCGGGCUUGAGUAUGGGAGAGGUGAGUGGAAUUCCUGGUGUAGCGGUGAAAUGCGUAGAUAUCAGGAGGAACACCUGUGGCGAAAGCGGCUCACUGGACCAUAACUGACGCUGAGGCGCGAAAGCCAGGGGAGCAAACGGG